AGCUGCAAAAGAAUUGCCUUCUUUCACUGUGCAGUGACAGAAUCCUUCAGGAUGUUCCAUUUAACAGGUUUGAAGCAGCCAAACUUGUUAUGCAGUGGCUAUGUAAUCAUGAAGAUCAAAACAUGCAAAGGAUGGCUGUAGCCAUAAUUUCUAUUCUUGCUGCAAAGCUUUCAACAGAGCAAACGGCUCAACUUGGAGCAGAGCUUUUCAUUGUUAGGGUAAGUCGAAUACCAUCUUGACAG